rnacentral:rRNA from 1 species
GGAUUAGAUACCCUGGUAGUCCACGCCCUAAACGAUGUCAACUAGUUGUUGGAUCUUUUCUGAUUUGGUAACGAAGCUAACGCGUGAAGUUGACCGCCUGGGGAGUACGGCCGCAAGGUUAAAACUCAAAGGAAUUGACGGGGACCCGCACAAGCGGUGGAUGAUGUGGAUUAAUUCGAUGCAACGCGAAAAACCUUACCUACCCUUGACAUGUCAGGAAUUUUGCAGAGAUGCGAAAGUGCUCGAAAGAGAACCUGAACACAGGUGCUGCAUGGCUGUCGUCAGCUCGUGCCG